rnacentral:lncRNA from 1 species
NNACAAAAAAGACUGAUAAUUCAGCAAAAUAUAGGGAAAAACACCUCGAGAAUGUUGGAAAAUAUAGUUGAAAAAGAGGGCUGGCAGCUGUGUCUGGGCUAAGUUUGACGUCUUUGUCAGGAUGAUUACGUUCAUUACUCUCUGCCUCCUUCACUCCUUGUCUGCUGCUUUCAACUGGUCGGUGCACACACACACACAGACCCUAUUAUUUGGAACUCCGGGUUUCCUAAAAUCGCAGCACUGGUUCUUGAUCUAUUGAUCUCGUGCCAACUUAGUCCCCAGCUUUUAAAAUAUACAACUCUGUUCCUAUUAUACUUAAAAUAAUUCAUCUUCAAUGACUUGAAUUGGCCAAAUUAAUAAAAAUUUCAUGUGAUGCUAAUAUGUCUAAAAUUAAGUUUUACAUUACAACUUGAGAUUAUGCACAGAAAUUUGAAAUAAUAACUCAAAUGGCAGAAGUCAAUAGAUUGGUUACCUUCCAAUCUUCGAUAUUUAGAGCUAGAGAUACUCGAUGAUGGAUAGAUAGACUCAACUUAUCUCAAGAAAGAAGCCAAUAAGCUAUUUCAUCAGUUUUUCAUAUGUUUUCAUAUCGGACCAGAUGAGACGGUUUGACAUCAAAAAUAGUGACACGAUGGGGAAAAUGGUCUCAUUGAUAGUUAAAAUAGCAAUAGUAAAAACGAGUUAAUUAAAUGAAUGCUCAUUAAAUUUACCCUAGGCAUAAGUUACUACCUGCUCACUGUUAUUAACUCAUCAAUUCAAAUGGUUAUCUAUUCAUCACUAGAGUGAAACCAGGUACUCGACUUGAUGGAAAGUACCAUGUGAUCAACAAAAAUCAGACGUCGCACCUUAACGACAUUAAAUUAUUAAGUUAAUUAAAUGAACACUCAUUAAAUUUAUUCCUAGGUUACUAAUUGUUCACUGAACCAAAAAAUAAAAAAAUAAAUAAUUGCCCACUCAUUAUUUGUUUAGAUCUAAUUGGUUUUUUGUAUUCUAUUUGAGAGGCUUAUAUUUUCCUUCAAUUUUUUCGAGUUCAAUUUGUAAAGCAAGUGGAAUUAAACCAUACUUACAAUUAUUUUUAACAAUAUAUUUUUAUUGUUUUCUUCUUAUUUUUGAAUGGAGGUUUUCCUGUUUAGUUGUCUACGUUCAGUCCUAUUUAUUUUAAACGAUUUUAUGUACAAGGUUAAUCCUCUUUUUCUGCUGUUAGCUACAUUUCUUCUCAGUCAAGGGAAAAAUGAGAAAGAUUACUCGGUAAAAUGAUCAACCAAACAAUGCUAUAGAAAGCAAUCUCGUUAAGUUGACAGACUUUUCCAAACUUUCAUGUCAUCGCCUAAAAUAAUGAUAAAUUACUCAAAUUAAAACCAAUCCGGUAAACUAAUACUAACCCACCACUUAAUUCGUCAACUUCUACAUUUAUUCUAGCAUCUCCAUCCCCCUUAACUUGUCUUCUCUUUAAUUUUUCACUGGCUAAUCACCACACAUGAUCAAACCAGAAGUCACUACCUUACACAAUCCAUAUACCUAAUUUAAUCCAAUACCUAUGCCUCAAUUUUUUUCAAUUAACUUCAUUCAAACCUUUUAACAUCUAAGAAAAAAAAUGAAGAUUUAACAAAAACAGCACUAAAAUUUUGGAUUACUUAAAUCUGGCACCAGUUUCUAUAUAUGGAAAACUGUCUGCAAAACCACCAAUAGAAAUAGUACUUUCUGGACAGAAUUUCAAAAAUAGCACCUUUGUAUUACAAUUGCUCAAAAAUUGCUUAAAAUUGCUUAAAGAUGGAGAAAUCAACCCUCAUACACUUAAAUCAAGUGAUUGGCCUCAUAUAAACAGAAUAAAUUCAAAGAUUGAAGCUUUAAUUUACAAACCAUUUCAUAUUUUUUCUAUUUCAACCCCAUUCUUCCCAUAUACAUUAUUCUUUGCAGUACUACAGGUUAAUACCUCAAAUACCUUAUCAAUAAUCUUCAAUUCUUGCUAAAAUUUGAAUAUAAACAAUUGUCCAUAAACCUUAAAUCAAACAUUAUUCUUCAAUAAAUAAAUAAAAUUCUUACCUCUACGGUGAUAAGUACCUCUUUAUAGGAACCGAACAAAAGUUAGCCUCUCAUUGAAUUUAAAGAUGAAGCCACCAUAUCUGAAUAAAAUACCAUCUUUUAGUCAACACUAACAAUCUUCGACUCUAGCCCAGAAGAAAAUUUCUUAAUUUUUCACUUAAAUCGCAGUAAAAUAUGCCCAGUUUAUUGUAUCAUGAAACAAGCCAGCAAGAUGGGUUUCAUGGAUCUUCAAACCUGCACGAUUUGUGUUGGCUCUAUGCGACAGAUGGGUUGCAAUCAAAGGGGCCCCUACUGCUGACUCAUAAAC